GAGAGGUGUUUGCACACAAAGAGCUGCUAACUCUUUGCCCUGUGGUUAAACCCCACAGACCUCUCA
rnacentral:tRNA from 1 species